GACGAACGCUGGCGGCGUGCUUAACACAUGCAAGUCGAACGCCGACGCAGUGUGCUUGCACUGGGUGGAUUAGUGGCGAACGGGUGAGUAAUACGUGCAUAACCUGCUCUUUUCUCUGGGAUAAGCAUGGAAAACUGCUUCUACUACUGCAUACGACAUGCUACUGCUGGGUGCAGUGUGGCAUCGGUUUUUGUGGGUUUGGAUGGGCUCAGGGCUUAUCAGCUAGUUGGUGGGGUAAUGGCCUACCAAGGCGACGACGGGUAGCCGGCCUGAGAGGGUGAACAGGCACAAGGGGACUGAGAGACGGAGCAGACGGGAACGGGGGGCAGUAGGGGGGAGUAUGGCACAGUGGUAGGGAGUCGGAUGAAGAGACGCUGGGUGAGGAAUGACGGCUUGUGGGGUGUAAACAUCAUUCAGUAAGGAAGAAGCGGGAGUGACGGUACGUGCAGAAGAAGCGCCGGCUAACUACGUG
rnacentral:rRNA from 1 species